rnacentral:rRNA from 1 species
UACAUGCAGUCGAGCGAGCCCUUUUGGGCGAGCGGCGGACGGGUGAGUAACACGUGGGCAAUCUGCCUUUCAGACUGGAAUAACACUCGGAAACGGGUGCUAAUGCCGGAUAAUACACGGGUAGGCAUCUACCUGUGUUGAAAGAUGCAACAGCAUCGCUGAGAGAGGAGCCCGCGGCGCAUUAGCUAGUUGGUGGGGUAACGGCUCACCAAGGCGACGAUGCGUAGCCGACCUGAGAGGGUGACCGGCCACACUGGGACUGAGACACGGCCCAGACUCCUACGGGAGGCAGCA